CCCUACGGGGGGCAGCAGUGAGGAAUAUUGGUCAAUGGUCGGGAGACUGAACCAGCCAAGCCGCGUGAGGGAUGAAGGUACGGAGUAUCGUAAACCUCUUUUGUCAGGGAACAAAGGCGGGGACGUGUCCCCGGAUGAGUGUACCUGAAGAAAAAGCAUCGGCUAACUACGUGCCAGCAGCCGCGGUAAUACGUAGGGGGCAAGCGUUAUCCGGAUUUACUGGGUGUAAAGGGAGCGCAGGCGGCGUGGCAAGUCAGAUGUGAAAACCCGGGGCCCAACCCCGGGAGUGCAUUUGACACUGCCAU
rnacentral:rRNA from 1 species